CCUUGUUUGGAGUAGUGGUUAGUGCGCUUGGCUGCGGACCCGGAGGACCCUGGUUCAAUUCCCCCCACCAGGU